CGGCAUGUAGUAGUGGUUUGGUUGUUAGUCUACAACUCUGAAGACCAGAGUUCGAAUCCUGGCUUGCCCA